CCUAAUAUGAAUGAUAAUAGCUGCAGUUGGUCGACAUUUUAACAGCAAGUUAAGGCAUUCAUGUGUUAUUCCAUUUACUUCCUGUCACCGACUUUCCUGAACUCAACAUUGUUCUCUCUGACCCCCACCCCCCAAAAAACAAACAAAAACAACCACAACUGUUGCUUACAGAUGAGCGAUACUAAAGUUUUUCCUGUCGAUAUGAUACCGUUAGUUUGUGGUACUUUUUCACUGAUAUCGACAUGGACAUGGUCAGAAGCAGAAUACCAGAAACGCUGAUGUUCAGUCUGACUCCACGGUAACAAGAACUGUUAACUUUGUCCUCAGGAUGAGACAGAGAACAAUGUGACCUACGCCACUGUGGACCACGCUCAUCCAAAGGUCUCCUCUAAGAAGAAGGUAAAAGAGGAGGAAGAUGUGGUGACUUAUUCUGCUGUAAGGACUAAAACUGAUGCAGAGGUGGACAACGAUCCCAGCAGCUACUACAGCUGUGUCAACCUACCUGAAUAAAUGGGAGGAAAUGAGACUUCUUCUGACAUCAGUGUGUUUAUUAAAGCUGCAGUCAGGAAGUGGACGGCUGAACUUUGUGCUCCACUGUUAUCACAUGUUGUUAAUCAUAUGAAAGGAUUGUAACUUUAUAAAUUAAUCUGCUUUUUAAUGCAAAGUAAAUCUAUUUUUCUGCAUGUAGCUACAGACAUUCAUCGAGGUUCUGCUGUAAUAUAACUCUAACCCUAAAAUAUUGCACAAGAAUAACCCAAUUCAUGAAGUACGGUUUGAAGUUUUGAAAAUGAAGGUAACAAAGCUGAGCCGAGAGGUGUGUGUGGA